AUAUUGCGCAAUGGACGGAAGUCUGACGCAGCGACGCCGCGUGAGCGAUGAAGGCCUUCGGGUCGUAAAGCUCUGUCCUUGGGGAAGAAGGCGAAAGCUUGACGGUACCCAAGAAGAAAGCCCCGGCUAACUACGUGCCAGCAGCCGCGGUAAUACGUAGGGGGCGAGCGUUGUCCGGAAUUACUGGGCGUAAAGGGUGCGUAGGCGGCCCUUUAAGUCAGAUGUGAAAGCCCGCGGCUUAACCGCGGAACUGCAUUUGAAACUGGAGGGCUUGAGUGUCGGAGAGGGUAGUGGAAUUCCCAGUGUAGCGGUGAAAUGCGUAGAUAUGUGGAGGAAUACCGAUGGCGAAGGCAGCCCCCUGGGAUAAUACUGACGCUCAGACACGAAAGCGUGGGGAGCAAACAGG
rnacentral:rRNA from 1 species